rnacentral:rRNA from 1 species
AUUGAACGCUGGCGGCAGGCCUAACACAUGCAAGUCGAGCGGAGCGGCGGACGGGUGAGUAAUGCCUAGGAAUCUGCCUGGUAGUGGUGGAUAACGUCCGGAAACGGGCGCUAAUACCGCAUACUAUCAGAUGAGCCUAGGUCGGAUUAGCUAGUUGGUGGGGUAAAGGCCUACCAAGGCGACGAUCCGUAACUGGGCUGAGAGGAGGAUCAGUCAAAAUGGAACGGAGAGAAGGGCAAGACUCAUACGGGAGGCAGCAGUGGGGAAUAUUGGAAAAGGGGCGAAAGCCUGAUCCAGCCAUGCCGCGUGGGGGAAGAAGGUCUUCGGAUUGGAAAGCACGUUAAGUUGGGAGGCGUUACCAACAGAAUAAGCACCGGCUAACUUCGUGCCAGCAGCCGCGGUAAUUC